ACUGGCAUAUAUGAUGACUGAACUUUUUUCCCCGGCAGAUCGACCGUGGUGAUACAGCUUCUCUAAGCCAGUUUUAUCUGAUAUGCCAGU
ensembl:snoRNA SNORD12B small nucleolar SNORD12/SNORD106